AAAUUGAAGAGUUUGAUCAUGGCUCAGAUUGAACGCUGGCGGCAGGCCUAACACAUGCAAGUCGAGCGGAAACGAGUUGUCUGAACCUUCGGGGAACGAUAACGGCGUCGAGCGGCGGACGGGUGAGUAAUGCCUAGGAAAUUGCCCUGAUGUGGGGGAUAACCAUUGGAAACGAUGGCUAAUACCGCAUGAUGCCUACGGGCCAAAGAGGGGGACCUUCGGGCCUCUCGCGUCAGGAUAUGCCUAGGUGGGAUUAGCUAGUUGGUGAGGUAAGGGCUCACCAAGGCGACGAUCCCUAGCUGGUCUGAGAGGAUGAUCAGCCACACUGGAACUGAGACACGGUCCAGACUCCUACGGGAGGCAGCAGUGGGGAAUAUUGCACAAUGGGCGCAAGCCUGAUGCAGCCAUGCCGCGUGUGUGAAGAAGGCCUUCGGGUUGUAAAGCACUUUCAGUCGUGAGGAAGGUGGUAGUGUUAAUAGCACUAU
rnacentral:rRNA from 1 species